rnacentral:lncRNA from 1 species
ACCAAUUAUCCUUAGGUUUGGUUGUUUAACAUAAUUCCAAAUUUCUUGGAGGCUUUGUUCAUUUUUUUUACUAUUCUUUUUUCUUGUUUGUUGGAUUGGGCUAAUUUGAAAACCUUGUCUUCGAGCUCUGAAGCUCUUUCUUCUCCUGUUCUAGUCUAUUAUUGAAACUUUCCAGUGUAUUUCGUUUCUUUAAGUGUGUCUUUCAUUUCCAGAAGUUGCAAUUGUUUUUCCUUUAAGAUACCUAGUUAUCUGGAGCAUUUUUCAUCCAUAUUGUUGUUGUUGUU